rnacentral:rRNA from 1 species
GAUGAACGCUGGCGGCGUGCCUAAUACAUGCAAGUCGAGCGAACGGACGAGAAGCUUGCUUUUCUGAUGUUAGCGGCGGACGGGUGAGUAACACGUGGAUAACCUACCUAUAAGACUGGGAUAACUUCGGGAAACCGGAGCUAAUACCGGAUAAUAUUUUGAACCGCAUGGUUCAAAAGUGAAAGACGGUCUUGCUGUCACUUAUAGAUGGAUCCGCGCUGCAUUAGCUAGUUGGUAAGGUAACGGCUUACCAAGGCAACGAUGCAUAGCCGACCUGAGAGGGUGAUAGGCCACACUGGAACGGAAACACGGUCCAGACUCCUACGGGAGGCAGCAGUAGGGAAUCUUCCGCAAUGGGCGAAAGCCUGACGGAGCAACGCAGCGUGAGUGAUGAAGGUCUUCGGAUCGUAAAACUCUGUUAUUAGGGAAGAACAUAUGUGUAAGUAACUGUGCACAUCUUGACGGUACCUAAUCAGAAAGCCACGGCUAACUACGUG